AUCUAUGGCCAUACCACCCUGGCAACACCUGAUUUCAUCUGAUUUUGGAAGCAAAGCAUGAUCAGGCUUGGAUAAUACCAGGGAAUACCAGUUGCUGUAGGAA
rnacentral:rRNA from 1 species